GGAAAAAAGGUCUAUCCCAACUCUUGGGAUUUUUAAAAAGUCUACCCCAAUCCUUGGGAUUUUCAAAAAGUCUAUCCCAAUCUUUGGGAUUUUUUUUUUUAAAAAAAGUCUAUCCCGAUGUUGGGAUUUUUUUUUUUUAUAAAAAAUCUAUCCCAAUCCUUGUGAUUUUUUAAAAGGUCUAUCCCAUUCCUUGGGAUUUUUUUUAAAAGUCUAUCCCAAUCCUUGGGAUUUUUUUUAAAAAGUCUAUCCCAAUCCUUGGGAUUCUUUAAAAAGUC
rnacentral:lncRNA from 1 species